GUGGGGAAUAUUGGACAAUGGGCGAAAGCCUGAUCCAGCCAUGCCGCGUGUGUGAAGAAGGUCUUCGGAUUGUAAAGCACUUUAAGUUGGGAGGAAGGGCAGUAAGUUAAUACCUUGCUGUUUUGACGUUACCGACAGAAUAAGCACCGGCUAACUUCGUGCCAGCAGCCGCGGUAAUACGAAGGGUGCAAGCGUUAAUCGGAAUUACUGGGCGUAAAGCGCGCGUAGGUGGUUUUGUAAGUUGGAGGUGAAAUCCCCGGGCUCAACCUGGGAACUGCCUUCAAAACUGCAUGACUAGAGUACGGUAGAGGGUAGUGGAAUUUCCUGUGUAGCGGUGAAAUGCGUAGAUAUAGGAAGGAACACCAGUGGCGAAGGCGACUACCUGGACUGAUACUGACACUGAGGUGCGAAAGCGUGGGGAGCAAACAGGAUUAGAAACCCUGGUAGUCC
rnacentral:rRNA from 1 species